rnacentral:rRNA from 1 species
GACGAACGCUGGCGGCGUGCCUAAUACAUGCAAGUCGGACGCAGUUGCGAACGGGUGAGUAACGCGUAGGUAACUACCUAGUAGAGGGGGAUAACUAUUGGAAACGAUAGCUAAUACCGCAUACUAGUAGAUGGACCUGCGUUGUUUUAGCUAGUAGGUAGGGUAAUGGCCUACCUAGGGAACGAUACAUAGCCGACCUGGGAGGGGGAUCGAGCACACCGGGACUGGGAAACGGGCCCGGCUCCUACGGGAAGCAGCCGUAGGGGAACAUCGGAAAUGGGGGGAACCCUGGCCGAGGAAAGCCGCGGGAGAGAAGAAGGUUUUCGGAUCGUAAAGCUCUGUUGUUAAGGGAGCGGUACUGAACCAGAAAGGGACGGCUAACUACGUGCCAGCCGCCGCGGUAAUAC